GCGCCACCGGCUCAGCCUCGCGGCGGGGGAAACCCGAGCUCCCAACAAAACGGUUCCAUCUUUGGCUAGGCCUUUGGUAUUUCAAGGCGCUGCCGGUGGGGAGAGAUGCCGCGUGCCUGAGAGGCUCUGGGAGGCACCAAAGAAGGCCCAGAGAGGUUUAACAACUUCCUCAGAAUCACACAGCUUCCAAAUGGUUGGGUUGGGUUUACAUUUAGGCGGUCUUGCUCCAGAGCCAGUGCUCCUAACCUUUGCAAGCCACGAACCUCAAGAAAGUGGAGAAGGAAACGCUGGGAAAUCUGGAAGUCAGACAUGGCAAGUUUUUCUCACUGUAAGAAGAGGACAAUAGCCUAUGAUCUACAGUGCCCAUUCCAACUCAGAGAAUCUUUACAUCUGGAGAUCUAUAGCAGGGCUAUCCCUAGUGACAUGCGUGAAGAAGCUUGGAAAUGGUGCUGGGUAGGAGCUGAGUGUGCAGAAUGUGGAAAGGCAUUCUAAACCAAAGGAAGAACACGAGUAAAGAUGAUGAAGCAGGGAUAAGGCUAAAAUGAAAUUUGUGAUCUGAUCCACAUACAAGCACAGUGUAGUACAGCUGGAAUAUAGAGAAGAGCUUGAAGACUUAUGAGCAACUAUCCCGGUACUCUUGGAGGCUCUGCAACCACAGUUUGAGAAACUCCGCGUUCAAAGUUAAAAACUGUCACCUGAAUAGUUAAUAACAUCAAAGAUUGUGAAAGCAAGUAUAAAUAACACAGAGAUUAAAAUAAUGAGGCAGGAUCAGAAAAAAACAAGAA
rnacentral:lncRNA from 1 species